CGCGGGGUGGAGCAGAUGGCAGCUCGUUGGGCUCAUAACCCAAAGGUCGUCGGUUCGAAUCCGGCCCCCGCUACCA
rnacentral:tRNA from 1 species